rnacentral:tRNA from 2 species
GUUAGCGUAGCAAAAUCUGGCAUUGCAAAAGAUCUAAGCCCUUUCUAUAGAAGUUCAACUCCUCUCGCUAACU